UACGUAGGGGGCUAGCGUUGUCCGGAUUUAUUGGGCGUAAAGAGCGUGUAGGCGGCCAAGUAGGUCCGGUGUGAAAACUCGAGGCUUAACCUCGAGAUGUCAUCGGAAACCAUUUGGCUAGAGUCCGGAAGAGGAAAGCGGAAUUCCCGGUGUAGCGGUGAAAUGCGUAGAUAUCGGGAGGAACAUCAGUGGCGAAGGCGGCCUUCUGGUCCAGUACUGACACUCAAGUGCGAAAGCGUGGGGAGCAAACAGG
rnacentral:rRNA from 1 species